AUGCGUUGUUGGGUAGGGGAGCGUUCUGUAAGCCUGCGAAGGUGUGCUGUGAGGCAUGCUGGAGGUAUCAGAAGUGCGAAUGCUGACAUAAGUAACGAUAAAGCGGGUGAAAAGCCCGCUCGCCGGAAGACCAAGGGUUCCUGUCCAACGUUAAUCGGGGCAGGGUGAGUCGACCCCUAAGGCGAGGCCGAAAGGCGUAGUCGAUGGGAAACAGGUUAAUAUUCCUGUACUUGGUGUUACUGCGAAGGGGGGACGGAGAAGGCUAUGUUGGCCGGGCGACGGUUGUCCCGGUUUAAGCGUGUAGGCUGGUUUUCCAGGCAAAUCCGGAAAAUCAAGGCUGAGGCGUGAUGACGAGGCACUGCGGUGCUGAAGCAACAAAUGCCCUGCUUCCAGGAAAAGCCUCUAAGCAUCAGGUAACAUCAAAUCGUACCCCAAACCGACACAGGUGGUCAGGUAGAGAAUACCAAGGCGCUUGAGAGAACUCGGGUGAAGGAACUAGGCAAAAUGGUGCCGUAACUUCGGGAGAAGGCACGCUGAUAUGUAGGUGAAGUCCCUCGCGGAUGGAGCUGAAAUCAGUCGAAGAUACCAGCUGGCUGCAACUGUUUAUUAAAAACACAGCACUGUGCAAACACGAAAGUGGACGUAUACGGUGUGACGCCUGCCCGGUGCCGGAAGGUUAAUUGAUGGGGUCAGCGCAAGCGAAGCUCUUGAUCGAAGCCCCGGUAAACGGCGGCCGUAACUAUAACGGUCCUAAGGUAGCGAAAUUCCUUGUCGGGUAAGUUCCGACCUGCACGAAUGGCGUAAUGAUGGCCAGGCUGUCUCCACCCGAGACUCAGUGAAAUUGAACUCGCUGUGAAGAUGCAGUGUACCCGCGGCAAGACGGAAAGACCCCGUGAACCUUUACUAUAGCUUGACACUGAACAUUGAGCCUUGAUGUGUAGGAUAGGUGGGAGGCUUUGAAGUGUGGACGCCAGUCUGCAUGGAGCCGACCUUGAAAUACCACCCUUUAAUGUUUGAUGUUCUAACGUUGACCCGUAAUCCGGGUUGCGGACAGUGUCUGGUGGGUAGUUUGACUGGGGCGGUCUCCUCCUAAAGAGUAACGGAGGAGCACGAAGGUUGGCUAAUCCUGGUCGGACAUCAGGAGGUUAGUGCAAUGGCAUAAGCCAGCUUGACUGCGAGCGUGACGGCGCGAGCAGGUGCGAAAGCAGGUCAUAGUGAUCCGGUGGUUCUGAAUGGAAGGGCCAUCGCUCAACGGAUAAAAGGUACUCCGGGGAUAACAGGCUGAUACCGCCCAAGAGUUCAUAUCGACGGCGGUGUUUGGCACCUCGAUGUCGGCUCAUCACAUCCUGGGGCUGAAGUAGGUCCCAAGGGUAUGGCUGUUCGCCAUUUAAAGUGGUACGCGAGCUGGGUUUAGAACGUCGUGAGACAGUUCGGUCCCUAUCUGCCGUGGGCGCUGGAGAACUGAGGGGGGCUGCUCCUAGUACGAGAGGACCGGAGUGGACGCAUCACUGGUGUUCGGGUUGUCAUGCCAAUGGCACUGCCCGGUAGCUAAAUGCGGAAGAGAUAAGUGCUGAAAGCAUCUAAGCACGAAACUUGCC
rnacentral:rRNA from 1 species